rnacentral:lncRNA from 1 species
AGAAAUUUCAUAAGUUUGGCUCGAAGUGCAUUUCCAUGUUAUCGAUGUCCUUUAGGGAUUCUGUGGCUGGUAGUAGCUCCGUACGGUGAUUCUGGAGUUGGGAGCGGAAUUGGAAGUGAAUUCGGAGGUUCGCAUGCCAUUUUGGAGUCAUUUCGCUAAAGAUAGAAAUUUCAAGGUUUUGAGAACUUUGACCGGAAGUGGACUUUUUGAUAUCGGGGUCGGAAUUCUAUUUCGGAAGUUGGAGUAGGUCCGUUAUGUUAAAUAUGACUUGUGUGCAAAAUUUGAGGUCAAUCGGACGUGAUUUGAUAGGUUUAAACAUCGAAAUUGAAGUUUGAAAUUCUAAAGUUCAUAAAGCUUGAAUUGGUGGUUGAUUCAUGA